AUUGAACGCUGGCGGCAGGCCUAACACAUGCAAGUCGAACGCCCCGCAAGGGGAGUGGCGCACGGGUGAGUAACGCGUGGGAAUAUGCCCUUCGGUUCGGAAUAACACAGGGAAACUUGUGCUAAUACCGGAUACGAUCUACGGAUGAAAGAUUUAUCGCCGAGGGAGUAGCCCGCGUAGGAUUAGCUAGUUGGUGAGGUAAUGGCUCACCAAGGCGACGAUCCUUAGCUGGUCUGAGAGGAUGAUCAGCCACACUGGGACUGAGGCACGGCCCAGACUCCUACGGGAGGCAGCAGUGGGGAAUAUUGGACAAUGGGCGAAAGCCUGAUCCAGCCAUGCCGCGUGAGUGAUGAAGGCCUUAGGGUUGUAAAGCUCUUUCGCCAGGGAAGAUAAUGACGGUACCUGGAAAAGAAGCCUCGGCUAACUCCGUGCCAGCCGCCGCCGUAAAAC
rnacentral:rRNA from 1 species